ACAUUUCUCAGAAAUUUCACAACAAAACAAAACAAAGGGAGAUAUUUUGAGCCAACAAAGAAGGCGCAGUUGGAAAAUGGAGUUAUUAGUAAUGAAGCAGCAGGCAUAUUUGGAAAAUUAUGCCGAUAAGCAAGAUGGAAUUUGUUGUAAUUGAAUUGUUUAAUAGAAAUGUUAUAAAUCGAGUGGCUCAUUUACGAUGUGCUCCAAACAUUUGA